GGUCACGAGGAGUUUGGAGACGAUCCCAGCUGCCGUAUGGCAAAAAAGUGCGGUAAAGUCUGGACAUGUUGCCAGUCUACUGCAGGACAAAGUGGCGGCAAUUGACUGAGCUACAGAUAUGAAGUCUCUGAGAGCCUUCUGCUGUUUUACAUGAAAAAACCGAGGCUUUGAUGUCCCCCGCCGAAUUGCGCCGCAAUAACAACAGAAGACAUCUCAACACAUCACAGGCUGAUGACCUCAGUAUCUGCUGACUGCUGUUACAUCAAGUCAUUCACCACAUGGAGAAACCGUGGAGCCACUGGAGGAGACGUCAAGUGGACUGAACUGCAGGCCUCUUGUCAGGGUGCCCAUAGUAUGCGAGCAACCUUUCAACGCAACGCUUUUGUCGGGUAAAAAUGCAGAAUGAAUAGUUAUUCAUGUAGCGUGUUAGGUGGGAAAGAAAUACAGCCUGGUUAUUUUGCAUUAAGGGCUUUGGUAUUUAUAGUGGUGUGAAAUAAUGUGAAACACAGUCUAAUAUCCUCGGGGAUUUAGCAUAAAAAAUACAUGAGAAAUAAACCUUUUCUUGUGUUUCGUGCACAGAAACUACUAGCUUCAAAACAGCAAAAUAUUUAGAAAUAAAAAAAACUGUGGAUCCUAAUUGUCACUCGUGUCUCUUAUUCUUAUUGCCUUCUAUUGUCAGAUAUAAAAGACUCAAGCUAAAGUCAUAUCAGCCCAGCAGUACCAGCAGAUUUUCUAUGGCUUAUUUUACUUAAAAAGUCAUCUUUUUACACAAGUUAUCCUCUCGUUCUGAGCAAAUCAGGGUUAAAUACCGUGAAACUAGUAGCCUCUCCGCUUUUGUACUCUUGUGCCAGAAAAGAAAAAGUCCCCCCACGUCUGGGGACAUGCUUUCUUCUAAUUGGCUCGGAGAUCUGGGGCUCCUUAGAAGCGAGGCUCACAGCUCUGCAUCUUCCUCGCCUUGCUCUGGGGCACGCUGAUAGUAGGAAGCUGCAACAACUGAGGAGCUUCCUUCUGAAAUUUGAUCUGUACCUCCAUAAAAGUGUCAGGACGUUUUCCCUGAGCAUCAAACCGUGCGCCCAAACUGACUCUGACAGGAAGUUUAGAUAACAAAAUAUUUCCAAAACAAAUGUCACAAUGAAGCAUUUUUAUUACUCUGUCCUCGUUUUUCUUGUGUUUUAAUGCGUUUGCGGGUGGUUUGGAGCAUGUGUGUCUUUCUUAACUCCUAAACCAAAUAUUUUGCUGGAAUAUGAACCCUUGUUGAUGUAGUCUGCAUAAAAGGUCAUUUAGUGGCUACAAGAAGGCAAUAAUAAAGCAUGUCACCGUGUGUAGUAGCUCAGUUCAUCGCAGCUCGGUAUAGUUUCAAAGCCAGGGCCAAGCUUUCUUUUUCUUUUCUUUUCUUUCUUUUUUUUUAAACCCAUCACUUUGAUUUUCAAACUAGUGGCUCAAGAAAACAUUGCUUUAGGCAUCUAUGUAACUUCAAGCAUGACAUUGAUUAUCUUAGCUUCAUAAUUAUCUCCACAUGUUACUGUACCACUGUAUUUCACAUGCAGACUAGGCUGGGUACAAUCCUGGGUGGGAAUGAAAGCCUUUUUUAAAUAAAGGCACCCUGCAGUUUAAUGCUAUAAAAUGUCUCGGUAUUCCAACUGCGAAGUUGGCGGCAAACAAAAGCAGGGCACGCUUUCAGUCAGAAAAUGAAUAUAAAUGGCUGCCAUACAUGAGAAAUAUAUGUGAUUUCAAAUAAGAACAAGGCUUUUAAAUGAUAUGAUGAGGAAACAAAAUUUUCAGUAUGGAGGCUUAUAUUUGCCACUGGAAAAAAAAAAGAAAUUA